rnacentral:rRNA from 1 species
CAAUAGCGUAUAUUAAUGUUGUUGCAGUUAAAAAGCUCGUAGUUGGAUUUUUGGUUUUGGUGAGCCUAGCCCGGGUGACAUUCAUUCAUGAUGUUCUUGUGAGCUGGUGCGCAUCGGCCAUGUUUCAGGAGAAUGUUUCUGCCCUUGAUUGGGUUGGGAAUAUGUAUCCUGAUCGUUUACUUUGAAAAAAUUAGAGUGUUCAAAGCAGGCAUGUUUGCUGUGAAUACAUUAGCAUGGAAUAAUGAGAUAGGACUUCGGUUUUAUUUUGUUGGUUUCUAAAACUGAAAGUAAUGAUUGAUAGGGAUAGUUGGGGGUGCUAGUAUUCAACGGCCAGAGGUGAAAUUCUUGGAUUCGUUGAAGACUAACUUAUGCGAAAGCAUUCACCAAGGAUGUCUUCUUUAA